rnacentral:lncRNA from 1 species
UUGAUUUUAUGUCAAAAGAGAGUAACUCUUCACUUCUGCGAUGUAUGGUUGUGAUAGGUAAAUUGGAUUUGAACCUUUGAUGUAUUUAACACAAUUCUUAACUUUUUUAAUUUAAUUGUUAUUCAAUCAGGUGUUAUUAAUUCUAGUCUCAUAUAAACAUUCAAAUGCUAAAGAUGAUGAUUAUUCAUCUCAUAUGGAUACUUGUCCUCAUCUCCA